CUUUCUCAACAGAACGGUGAAAGUUUCUUUUUUAAUUUACUUGUGUGUACAUACGUGGUCUUUUCCAUAAUGAUAUGCGCCAAAUAUUGUCUAAUAACAUUGCCCUAGAGUAAAAUAUAUGUUUUCUCCUUUCACCUCAUAAGUCAAUUGUUAUGGUCCCUGGUUAUUGAUCUCGUUAUGGGACGCUGCAAUAUGAAAUCUGAAG
rnacentral:misc_RNA from 1 species